GGGGACGCGUGGGUUCGACAGGGGAGGUGUGUUACAGAAUUGCAGAGCCGAGGCGCCACAGACCUCGUAAAACCAGUGGCAAAAAAACAACUGCCGAACCAGAAAUGGUUUUUGCUGCCUAACAUAAACGGGUAGCAACAUCCAACCCGGCCUCACCUCAACGGGCCGGGAUUGGGUGCCGAAAAGUUGAGGUGCCACCGCACGCACGCCGAUAAGGGCGGUGAAAGAAACAUCGGCUGGCCUGGCUGGACUCGGUCAGUUGAGGCUAAUCAGGCGAGAUAAAAAGAGCUGACUAGGCUUUGUAGCAUAUUCUGGGCAGCUUCUUCUGGACGGGGAGUUCAACUCUCCCCCGUCUCCACCA
rnacentral:tmRNA from 1 species